UACGUAGGGUGCAAGCGUUGUCCGGAAUUAUUGGGCGUAAAGAGCUUGUAGGCGGUUUGUCGCGUCUGCUGUGAAAUUUCGGGGCUCAACCCCGAACUUGCAGUGGGUACGGGCAGACUAGAGUGUGGUAGGGGAGACUGGAAUUCCUGGUGUAGCGGUGAAAUGCGCAGAUAUCGUGAGGAAGACCAGUUGCGAAGGCGGAUCUCUGGGCAGUUCCUGACACUGAGGCACGAAGGCCAGGGGAGCAAACGGG
rnacentral:rRNA from 1 species